CUCCUUGCAUGGCUUGUUAGUAAAGGUUUUUGUUGAGUUUUAAGAACAGUUUUAAAAACAAACUCAACAAUUCAGAGAUUCAGUAACUGAGAACUGGCAAUGCAGAAUAAGAUGUGGCAUGCACAGGUGAGGACUGGAGGAACUGUGAGUGCCAGCUGGAGGAGAGAAGGCCAUGCCUGAACAGCCCACUCCCUAAGGAACCAGCAAGUGAUUCUUGAACAUUUAUGCCAGAGAAAUGAAGACUUAUCUUGACAUGAAAAUGAAUGGACGUUUAUUUGUAAUAGCCAAACCUGGAAACAAUCCAAGUGUCCUUCAACAGAUGGGGCCUCCACGUGAAAAGUAACUACAAAACAGAACCAGAAAAUAGUCAUGCUGUUCAAACAUUACACUCCAAGAAAAGAAACUCUAGUGUAUAACAGAGGGGCUCUGUCAAAAUUUAACAACAUAAAUAUUGGGCAAAUGAAGUUGUUUCUCUGGUGCUAUCUCAACCUGCCAAUGGAGAAAUAUCUCAAAAAGUCAAGAAUUGAAGCCAUUACUCAGAGACAGCAUCCUAUGGCAUGGUGAUCCAAAACAAGUACACCUCUACCUUUUCCCUUUCAGCCCCAAACCCCAAAACACUGGAGAAUAUUGGGGCAGGCAAGGCCCGUGAAUAGGUGAGCAGAGCUGGAAGAAGAGACUCCUGCCCCUGGUGGGCCUCAGGCUAUUUGUGGAAUGAUGUUUGUGAGAUGAACAUGUUCGCUCCCUCACCCGGAUGUUUUGGACAUAGGAGCCUGGAGUAAAGAGUGUAUAUCUUGGGCUGUCAUUUUCCCGUGUGAAAGGUGUUUUGUUUUCUCCCCGUUUGCACAACUUGUUUCCCUUAAACUGUGCUGUGCAUGGCUAGGAAGCUCAGCAAUAGACUAAACAGUUUGCGAUCCCACAGUUUUGCUUUCUGUUUCUCAGGCCUGACCCAACACUCCAUGGGUUCCCUAGCCCUUCGUAGGUGCUUCGAAACACUCAUGGGGUCCUUGACCUGAUCCCAGUGGGGGUUUGUGUGUGGAAGUUAGGGAACCUCUCUUUGAGAGUUCUGGUGCCCCUAACUCUGUAGGGUCUGACUUCACUUCUGCCCCAAUAAGAAUGAAAGGCUUUGCCAGUAGUGCAGCCCUCUCCUCCCAAAGUCCUAGAGGCAAUUACUCUGAAAUAUGGAAGAAAGAGGCACAUCUGAAAGCCCAGUGCUGUCUUCUUGUCCUCACAUCCCUCAGGAUCUCAAGGU
rnacentral:lncRNA from 1 species